rnacentral:rRNA from 1 species
GAUCAUGGCUCAGAUUGAACGCUGGCGGCAGGCCUAACACAUGCAAGUCGAGCGGGGUUUUCGGACCUAGCGGCGGACGGGUGAGUAAUGCGUAGGAAGCUACCCGAUAGAGGGGGAUACCAGUUGGAAACGACUGUUAAUACCGCAUAAUGUCUACGGACCAAAGUGUGGGACCUUCGGGCCACAUGCUAUCGGAUGCGCCUACGUGGGAUUAGCUAGUUGGUGAGGUAAUGGCUCACCAAGGCGACGAUCUCUAGCUGGUUUGAGAGGAUGAUCAGCCACACUGGAACUGAGACACGGUCCAGACUCCUACGGGAGGCAGCAGUGGGGAAUUUUGGACAAUGGACGCAAGUCUGAUCCAGCCAUUCCGCGUGCAGGAUGAAGGCCCUCGGGUUGUAAACUGCUUUUGUACGGAACGAAAAGGUUUCCAUUAAUACUGGGAGCUCAUGACGGUACCGUAAGAAUAAGCACCGGCUAACUACGUG